UACGUAGGGUGCAGGCGUUAAUCGGAAUUACUGGGCGUAAAGCGUGCGCAGGCGGUCUUUUAAGUCAGAUGUGAAAUCCCCGGGCUUAACCUGGGAACUGCGUUUGAAACUGGAAGGCUUGAGUGUGGCAGAGGGGGGUGGAAUUCCACGUGUAGCAGUGAAAUGCGUAGAUAUCGGGAGGAACACCAGUGGCGAAGGCGGCUCUCUGGGGUAUUUCUGACGCUGAGGCACGAAAGCCAGGGGAGCGAACGGG
rnacentral:rRNA from 1 species